rnacentral:rRNA from 1 species
GGUGCCAGCGGCCGCGGUAAUACCUGCGGCCCGAGUGGUGGUCGUUAUUAUUGAGCCUAAAGCGUCCGUAGCCGGUUCAGUAAAUCUUUGGGUAAAUCGGGCAGCUCAACGGUCCGAAUUCCGGAAAGACUGCUGAACUGGGGACCGGGGGAGGUUGGAGGUACUCCUGGGGUAGGGGUGAAAUCCUGUAAUCCUAGGGGGACCACCAGUGGCGAAGGCGUCCAACCAAAACGGCUCCGACGGUAAGGGACGAAGCCCUGGGGCGCAAACGGGAUUAGAUACCCCGGUAGUCCAGGGUGUAAACGCUGCAGGCUUGGUGUUGGGGGUCCUACGAGGGCGCCCAGUGCCGGAGAGAAGUUGUUAAGCCUGCCGCUUGGGGAGUACGUCCGCAAGGAUGAAACUUAAAGGAAUUGGCGGGGGAGCACAGCAACGGGUGGAGCGUGCGGUUCAAUUGGAUUCAACGCCGUAAAACUCACCGGGAGCGACGGUUACAUGAAGGCCAGGCUGAUGACCUUGCCUGAUUUUCCGAGAGGUGGUGCAUGGCCGUCGUCAGUUCGUACCGUAAGGCGUUCUGUUAAGUCAGAUAACGAACGAGACCCUCAUCCUUAUUUGCUACUAUUCCUUUCGAGGGAUAGGCACUAUAAGGAGACCGCUGGCGCUAAGUCAGAGGAGGGAGAGGUCAACGGUAGGUCAGUAUGCCCCGAAUCUCCCGGGCAACACGCGCGCUACAAAGGACUGGACAAUGAGUUUCAACACCGAAAGGUGAAGGCAAUCUCGAAACCAGUUCAUAGUCCGGAUUGAGGGCUGUAAUUCGCCCUCAUGAAGCUGGAAUCCGUAGUAAUCGCGGGUCAACAUCCCGCGGUGAAUAUGCCCCUGCUCCUUGCACACACCGCCCGUCAAACCAUCCGAGUUGGGUCUAGAUGAGGGUGCCUCUACUAGGGGCGUCAAAUC